CUAAAGUUGUUCGCGCUUUUCCCCCAGGUACCUCAACUAACCAAGAUUCCUAUUAAAUCCUUUAACCCCCUAUAAUUUGAUCCUUUUAAAUAUUUUUGGCUGAUGUGGAGCCAAACGUGAUCUCACGUCCUGUAAGCGCGUGCAGACGCUUUAAAAGUGCUGAUGUGGAUCUUCAACCACCCACCAACGAUCUUCUUCCCCCUUUUAACCCUAAUUUCUCCCAUUCUUCCCUUAUUUCUCCUCUUUUGUUUCUCUUCAUCCCUUAUUUCUCCUCUUUUGUUUCUCUUCAUCAUUAUUUCUCCUCUUAUAUCUCUUUUUCAUUGAUUUCUUCUUAAUCAUUAAGUUCCAAUGUCGAAUUUAUCUUCUUCAUCGAUUUCUUCUUCUUCAACUGCGAAGGUACUAUGUCAAUGUGGGAACGUUGUGGAAAUGAAGACCUCAUGGACGCAAUCCAAUCCUGGACGUAGGUUCCUUUGUUGCAAAACUUCAAAGGCACGAGGUGGAUGUGGAUAUUUUCGAUGGUAUGAUGAUGAAAUGCCUGCUCAAGCUAGGAGGGUGAUAUGGGGUUUGUUGAAAAGAGUCAAAACAUAUGAAUUGGAGAGGAAUCGAUCAAGAAAAGUAUGGAUAAUAUGCAUCAUCGUAGGGGUGAUAUUGGCUACUUGGAUUUGUGUAACAAAAUAAUCUUAGUUGAUUCAUUUGUCUUCUAUUAGAUUCCUUCAUAAAAGUAUGUAUGGUAGAUUCUAGUGUUCUUUAUGGGCAAUUUAGAUCGAUUUUUCUAUUGUAAAUGCCUUGUGUUUUUAUUGUAAUGAUUUAAUUGAAGGAAUGAAGAUAAUUUGUGCCUCAAAAGCAGUAAAAA